rnacentral:antisense_RNA from 1 species
GCGCAUGCGGAACGCCGAGCGGGUGUAGUGCGCGGACUGGCGGCCGGUGCGGCUCUUGAACCUCGGAUACUUCGCGCGUCCCGCAAAAAAGUUGGUGAACGCGGUGUGCUGGUGUCGCAGUGCCUGCUGGAGCGGCACGCUCGACACCUCCGACAGGAACGCCAGAUCCUCGG